AUUGAACGCUGGCGGCAUGCUUUACACAUGCAAGUCGAACGGUAACAGGCCUUCGGGUGCUGACGAGUGGCGAACGGGUGAGUAAUGCAUCGGAACGUGCCCAGAGGUGGGGGAUAACGCAGCGAAAGCUGUGCCAAUACCGCAUGUGAUCUGAGGAUGAAAGCGGGGGACCAAGCAGCAAUGUUUGGCCUCGCGCCUCUGGAGCGGCCGAUGUCAGAUUAGGUAGUUGGUGGGGUAAAGGCCUACCAAGCCGACGAUCUGUAGCUGGUCUGAGAGGACGACCAGCCACACUGGGACUGAGACACGGCCCAGACUCCUACGGGAGGCAGCAGUGGGGAAUUUUGGACAAUGGGCGCAAGCCUGAUCCAGCAAUGCCGCGUGCGGGAAGAAGGCCUUCGGGUUGUAAACCGCUUUUGUACGGAACGAAAAGGCUCUGGCUAAUACCUGGGGAUGAUGACGGUACCGGAAGAAUAAGCACCGGCUAACUACGUG
rnacentral:rRNA from 1 species